UACGUAGGGGGCUAGCGUUGUCCGGAAUCAUUGGGCGUAAAGCGCGUGUAGGCGGUCCGGUAAGUCCGCUGUGAAAGUCGGGGGCUCAACCCUCGGAUGCCGGUGGAUACUGUCGGGCUUGAGUACGGAAGAGGCGAGUGGAAUUCCUGGUGUAGCGGUGAAAUGCGCAGAUAUCGGGAGGAACACCAAUGGCGAAAGCAGGUAACUGGACUAGUACUGACACUAAACUGCGAAAGCUAGGGGAGCAAACAGG
rnacentral:rRNA from 1 species